rnacentral:rRNA from 1 species
GCCCCAGAAAAAAUCUGAGGUGUAACCUGCCCAGUGGUUUCUAAUAAAAGAAGUAAAAGCUCUAUAAAGAAACUAAAAGGACGCGGUAACCUUGACCGUGAUAAUGUAGCAUAAUCACUCGCCAUUUAAUUGGUGGAUAGUAUGAAUGGUUGAACGAAUAUUCCACUGUCUUAGAGAGAAUCACAAGAAAUUGAAAUAAUAGUUAAGAUGCUAUUUUUUACUGUAAGACGAAAAGACCCUAUAGAGCUUAACUAUAAUCUCUUUAUAAUAAAAGAAAAAACAUUCUAUAAAUAAAGAGAUUGGUAGUUUAGUUGGGGCGACUGUCUUUUAUAUAAAACAAAGACAAGCAAUGUUAAUAAAAAACUUAUUGUAUAACAAAAAUGUUUAACAAUUAUUAAAAUAGGCUAUAAUGACCCGUUAUUACUUUAUAAAAAGAAUAACGAUCAAUUAAUAAAAGCUACCUUAGGGAUAACAGGAUAAUUUCAUUUUAGAGUUCCCAUCGAAAAUGAAGUUUGUCACCUCUAUGUUGAAUUAAGAUAUCCUGAUAAUGCAGCAGUUAUCAAAGGUAGGUCUGUUCGACCUUUAAAAUCUU